rnacentral:lncRNA from 1 species
AUGCAGCCACUUAAAUACACAGACGCAUGCAGGAGCCGGCUGCCACGACAGUGGGUGAUUACGGAGGACACGUUAGCCACAACUGACCAAGGCUCUCAGCUGUACGGGCCCAACCGACGGACAGGCCGUGGCCUUCCAGGGACGUGCCCGCCUGUGAUAGAGGUUGGUGGCCUUCCAGGGAUGUGCCCUACCACCGCAAGGACCCCGCGGCCUUCCAGGGAUGCGCCCUCCCACUACACAGGACCCUGCAGCCUGCCAGGGACGCACCCUCCCACUAUACAGGUCCCCGCGGCCUUCCAGGGACGCGCCCUUCUGCCGCACAGGACCCCGCGGCCUUCCAGAGACGCGCCCUCCCACUACACAGGACCCCGCGGCCUUCCAGGAACGCGCCCUCCCACUACACAGGUCCCCGCGGCCUUCCAGGGACGCGCCCUUCUGCCGCACAGGACCCCGCGGCCUUCCAGAGACGCGCCCUCCCACUACACAGGACCCCGCGGCCUUCCAGGGACGCGCCCUCCCACUACACAGGUCCCCGCGGCCUGCCAGGGACGCGCCCUCCCACUACACAGGUCCCCGCGGCCUGCCAGGGACGCGCCCUCCCACUACACAGGUCCCCGCGGCCUGCCAGGGACGCGCCCUCCCACUACACAGGUCCCCGCGGCCUGCCAGGGACGCGCCCUCCCACUACACAGGUCCCCGCGGCCUGCCAGGGACGCGCCCUCCCACUACACAGGUCCCCGCGGCCUGCCAGGGACGCGCCCUCCCACUACACAGGUCCCCGCGGCCUGCCAGGGACGCGCCCUCCCACUACACAGGACCCCGCGGCCUGCCAGGGACGCGCCCUCCCACUACACAGGUCCCCGCGGCCUGCCAGGGACGCGCCCUCCCACUACACAGGUCCCCGCGGCCUGCCAGGGACGCGCCCUCCCACUACACAGGUCCCCGCGGCCUGCCAGGGACGCGCCCUCCCACUACACAGGUCCCCGCGGCCUGCCAGGGACGCGCCCUCCCACUACACAGGUCCCCGCGGCCUGCCAGGGACGCGCCCUCCCACUACACAGGUCCCCGCGGCCUGCCAGGGACGCGCCCUCCCACUACACAGGUCCCCGCGGCCUGCCAGGGACGCGCCCUUCUGCUGCACAGCAAGGGAGGUCCCACAGGCUGGCCCUGGCGUCCACUCCGGGCACAGAGAACGUCCUACCGCCGACGUUUCCUGCCGGGCGGGGGGAACAUGGUCAUUCUUGA